UACAGAGGGGGCAAGCGUUGUUCGGAAUUACUGGGCGUAAAGGGCGCGUAGGUGGCCUUCUAAGUUGAACGUGAAAUCCCUGGGCUCAACCCAGGAACUGCGUCCAAGACUGGGAGGCUUGAAUCCGGGAGAGGGAUGCGGAAUUCCAGGUGUAGCGGUGAAAUGCGUAGAUAUCUGGAGGAACACCGGUGGCGAAGGCGGCAUUCUGGACCGAUAUUGACGCUGAGGAGCGAAAGCCAGGGGAGCAAACGGG
rnacentral:rRNA from 1 species